UAAAUCAGGGACGUCCUUGGAAAAUAGGAACACUUGGAGGGUCUGAGUGUGUAUGGAGGUCCUGGGCUGCCCAUAUGACAAAACCACACCCUCAACCUUGCUGAUGUGGUCCAAAGUAAAGCCAAGCAAUACGUUUGGAACCAGCUUGGCUGCAGGAGUUGCCGGAAGGAGUCAUGCAAUGCACCAUCCAACCAUCUUAGGGUCUCCACUCAGGAUUUGUGUAGGGUUUACUCCUUAGCCUUUUCUUCUCCCGAAUAUAUCCUUCAGUGUUUAGGACCAGAGUUCUCCUUCUCCUAGAUGGGCUACCUUGACCGUUGGACCCACAAUUGGUCUCUUUCCCUCAAUCUGCCAGAUCCCGUCUUCACAUGCAGUGGAAGUCCCUAACUCACUGAGGGUUUGAGACCCAUCAAUUAGCCUCUCCUGGUUUAGCUAGCCAGUCAUAGUCGUUCCUGGGAUGUGGCUGCUGACACCUGCUGACAGCUUCUAGGAGCCACAGGAAGGAAGGAUCAGCUCAGGUCGUCUAGUUCCAAAGGUUUGUGAAGUCAACAGGAUUCCAGCGCUGUUACUUACUGAGUUUCAGAUCCUCUUUACCCUGUAAACAUAGCUUUACUUUAUACCCCUUUACAUAGCUCCUGUGACUACCUCUGAGACUGAGGAAGUGGUGAGAUUUCUAUUAGAGGUCCAUUGUGUUUUCCUCACCCAGUAUAUUUCUUAGAAUUUCCGCUGCCAAUUUCUUUGUCAGCCCAAAUAGGGACUUUAUCCACCUUACAACAGUUCAGUUCAAGGUUGCUCUGUAGCCAUUAUCCAUUUUAUUCAUAUUAAAUAUUUUUAUUGGAUUUUAUAGUUUUACAAAGCUAAAAAGGAAAACAAUAAGACAUAAUAACAUUCUUCAUUUUAUGAUCAAGGCUGAUAAUCAAAGCUUUUCAUUACUUUGCAUUCUCAUGCUCUCCAAUGGACUUGCCCAUUAUCUUUUCUCCUUCCCUGUUAUUGGGCAACAUAUACCAUUUGGGAUACUUGGUUGCAUCAUUGCUAAGACAUCUUUACAUUUUUACUCAGCCAAGCUUAGGGUACCUCUAGUUACCCUACUCUGAAUUAUGGGAAGAUUAUGCUGUUCUGUUGCCUGGGUUUUGAUGUUUUACGACGUUUUUAUCUGGUGCAGUUUUGUACUGUUCAUUUUGUUGAUUUGACACCGCACCUUGCUUGUAAACCAUUGUGCAAACUUUCCUAUGAAAAAUGGUAUAGAAAUACUUUCAAUAAAUAAGACAAAGGUUUAA